AGCGAAUUAAAAAAACUGCUAAAUAGAUUCAAAAUUUUGUCCUGAGUUUAAAAAUACCCCGUGUUUACAUGCUUUUUUGCUUUUUUUUUUGCAUGUUAUAGGGCUAUAGGUACAAGUAGAAUAUUGCGGUUUCAAAACAUAAAUUUUUUAAAUUUAUCAAUAGUGACAUUGUAACACUAUUAUCUGUCAUAAAUCUCUGAAUAACAC